UAGUCCUAAUAAAAUGUAUUAUGCUACUGUUGUUUACAGACAGAUCUAUAAUGAUUUGUUUAACCGUUUUUAGUGUUCAAAAUGUAUUAUUGCAAGAACACUGUUAGGUAGAUUUCACAAAUGAUCCAGUGGAAAAUACAGGUCGUCGGCUUAGACUGCCCUGCAGUAAUUGUAAAGGAUUUGCCAGCUAUGGACAAAUGUGAGGUAGUCUGUAGGGCUGUUGGAUAGGAAUAAAGAGGGCGGACAUCCUUGACUUUUGAUGAUGAUAAAGAUAAAUAAUUGCAUGUAUACAUCACUCUUCUAGACAGAUUAGUGCCCCACUCAGAGCAGUAGACAAAGGUAUUAUUCCCACAAUGCAGCUGGGGAGCUGGGGCUGAGAGGAGGGACUCACCCAGGGCCACCUGCUGAGCACACGGCUGUAGUGGGAGUCAAACUAGCAGAGUGCUGGCUCGCAGUCCAGCCACUUAACCGCUCUGCUACAGCCGCCUUCAGGAAGGCUUUGGAUUCCCUUGCACAAACACAGGAUUUCAGGAUUAUGAAGAUUUGCAAUGGCAGGUAAAUGGAUCUUAAUCAAAGAUGCUGCUGAACCCUGAUGCUUCAGAUAUAAUGAGCAGUCAAAAAUGGAAACGGGGGGUCAUGAGCAGGACUGGUUGGAGGAAGAGGAUGAGUCCACACCGAAAACACGGGAAUUUUCUGUACAAAGGUUUUGUUAAUACACAGAAGACUGCAUCCUGGGGAUCUAGAGUAACAACCCAAAUGCGGGGCGCUAACAAGGAAAAGAUGUCAGUCACUUAAGGAAACCAUCUUGAAUCUCUUUGUAACAACAAACUGGUUCAAUUUUCUUAGGUUUAAACGCCUUUAUAACAAGUCACAGCAUAACAAUGGCAGAAUGGUGUAGAUGAAAACCAUCUCAGGCCAGAAGUAGACCACAAAGCAUUCAAAAGACAAAACCCCUUUGUGAAAAGCCUGGGGUGGGGUGGGGAGAUGUUUUAGCUGGGUGCCUAUAAGAAAGUCAAGCAGUGUUUCCACCACACAUUCAAACCAAAAACUCUUCACCACCCAAGCAGAGUUUGCUUUCCUUUCAGGACAUUUAAGCCUCUGCUUUUAAAAAAGUCCCCAUUCUCACGGGAGUAAUGGGGCAGAGCACACUCACAGGGUGGGGGGACAGACCAGGAGAGACAAGGCCCACCUCGAGAUCUUUUCCCCAAUGAAGGAUCACCAGGCAACUGGCCGUAUCCUGAAAUGACCAAAAGGGGCUCAGAUGCCUUCCACGAUUGUGCAUUUUUUACUCACACAGCAUAAAUUAAGCCGUGUCUUGGAUGGCAAAGACAGACCAAGUUGUUUGCCCAGAGUAUUCAGAUAUAUCAAAGUGAGCUGAAGCCUCCUCCAGAAGGAGCCGUGGUUGCUUUGCUGCAAGGGAUCUAGCUAUCUGGGGAGGAGCAAAAAAGAACGAAGAAAGCCUUGGGACAAAGAAAACAAGCCUUGGGACGAAGAAGGAGCCUUGGGAUGAAGAAAACAACUUAAAAUGGCCAUGGCCAGUGACGAGGCUACUCCAGAUGACCUUCAGUUUUUAGGCCACAAGUGGUUCAUACCUGGUGAGUACCAGGAUCCCUACAAAGCCUGGAGCACCAACAGUCUCUCUCACCUGACUGAUAGCGCGAAAAAUGGAUCCCUUCUACCAAAAUUGAUGCUAGAAGCUUGGAUUGGUGAAAAGGAUACUCUCAAGGCACCGUAUUCAUUCCUGUGGUUCCCAGGACAGGAAAUGGGUUGUCAUUUCUGUUUUCAUUUGAGGCCUUAAAUGCUACAUCUUCAGGAAAAAUAGCAUUCCCUCCACCAAGUUUCAAAAUCUCUGAAAUUUUUACAUCUGUACAGACACCCAAAGCAGUUAGUGAGAAUAUCUCAGCCCUCACCCAAGCAUGAGGCCACCAUCAAAUGGAGAAUCAUCCUCUGCUAAAAGCACAUCUUAUUCUCGAGGGAAAAGGAGUCUGGCAUUGCUUCGCAUCAUCUCCAUCACCACUGGAGCCAGGAACUUGUGUGUUUAUGUUGCUGUGGCAAAUCAGCCCCUCUUCUGAACUGCCCAAACCACCACCAGACACCCCUGAUUCCCUGAAAGAGUGCCAGGUUGGCUGUAGCUUUUAGAAGUGUUUUCUCAGCACAAGUCAAUAUUUAUUAGGCUCAGUGGCACUGACCGUUCAUCUUGCCUCCUCUUCCUACAUCUUCUUGGAAGGUGCAACUCAACAGCAGGCCCCUCUAUUUUCCAAGUCACUGUUGAGAGCAGAAGCUCAGUUUCUGGAGGAGGAACUAAGAAUUAAGUUUACCAGCUCCAGCUUGGGAAAUUUCAGGAAGCUUCGGGUGGGGGUGGGGGCUGUGGAGGAUGAAGAAAGGAGAGCUCAGCAGGAGCAUGAUGUCAUGGUUGGGUCAUAGCUCAGAUCCUGGAACUCUCCCCCUGUCUGUGAGGUCACUUCCUCCCACCAACAUUAAAAUUUUAAAUUCAAGUUUCCUGCCCCUUAUCUGCACCCCAUCUUCUUCUCCUGACUUACACUCUCACAUAUACGUUCACAAAUGUGAUGAUGUAAUACAAAUAAAAAUGAU